rnacentral:rRNA from 1 species
CAGGACGAACGCUGGCGGCGUGCCUAAUACAUGCAAGUCGAGCGAACCGAAGAGAGCUUGCUCUCUGAAGUUAGCGGCGGACGGGUGAGUAACACGUGGGCAACCUGCCUGUAAGACUGGGAUAACUUGCGGAAACGUGAGCUAAUACCGGAUACGCUUUUAUAUUCUCCUGAAUAUGAAAGGAAAGAUGGCUUCUGCUAUCACUUACAGAUGGGCCCGCGGCGCAUUAGCUAGUUGGUGGGGUAACGGCUCACCAAGGCGACGAUGCGUAGCCGACCUGAGAGGGUGAUCGGCCACACUGGGACUGAGACACGGCCCAGACUCCUACGGGAGGCAGCAGUAGGGAAUCUUCCGCAAUGGACGCAAGUCUGACGGAGCAACGCCGCGUGAGUGAAGAAGGUUUUCGGAUCGUAAAA